rnacentral:rRNA from 1 species
GAUGAACGCUGGCGGCGUGCUUAACACAUGCGAGUCGAACGGUGAAGGCGGAGCUUGCUCUGCUGGAUCAGUGGCGAACGGGUGAGUAACACGUGAGCAAUCUGCCCCUGACUCUGGGAUAAGCGCUGGAAACGGCGUCUAAUACUGGAUACGAGCGGCGAAGGCAUCUUCAGCAGCUGGAAAGAACUUCGGUCAGGGAUGAGCUCGCGGCCUAUCAGCUUGUUGGUGAGGUAACGGCUCACCAAGGCGUCGACGGGUAGCCGGCCUGAGAGGGUGACCGGCCACACUGGGACUGAGACACGGCCCAGACUCCUACGGGAGGCAGCAGUGGGGAAUCUUGCACAAUGGGCGAAAGCCUGAUGCAGCAACGCCGCGUGAGGGACGACGGCCUUCGGGUUGUAAACCUCUUUUAGCAGGGAAGAAGCGAAAGUGACGGUACCUGCAGAAAAAGCGCCGGCUAACUACGUG